rnacentral:rRNA from 1 species
AUUGAACGCUGGCGGCAGGCCUAACACAUGCAAGUCGAGCGAGAGGCGGACGGGUGAGUAAUGUCUGGGAAACUGCCUGAUGGAGGGGGAUAACUACUGGAAACGGUAGCUAAUAACGCAUACGAUCAGAUGUGCCCAGAUGGGAUUAGCUAUUAGGUGGGGUAACGGCGCACAUAGGCGACGAUCCCUAGCUGGUCUGAGAGGAUGACCAGCCACACUGGAACUUAGACACGGUCCAAACUCCUACGGGAGGCAGCAGUGGGGAAUAUUUCACAAUGGGCGCAAGCCUGAUGCAGCCAUGCCGCGUGUGUGAAGAAGGCCUUCGGGUUGUAAAGCACUUUCAGCGGGGAGGCGUUACCCGCAGAAGAAGCACCGGCUAACUCCGUGCCAGCAGCCGCGGUAAUAC